CGCUGGCGGCAUGCCUAACACAUGCAAGUCGAACGAAGCCUUCGGGGCUUAGUGGCGCACGGGUGCGUAACACGUGGGAAUCUGCCCUUCGGUUCGGAAUAACAGUUAGAAAUGACUGCUAAUACCGGAUGAUGACGUAAGUCCAAAGAUUUAUCGCCGAAGGAUGAGCCCGCGUAGGAUUAGGUAGUUGGUAGGGUAAUGGCCUACCAAGCCGACGAUCCUUAGCUGGUCUGAGAGGAUGAUCAGCCACACUGGGACUGAGACACGGCCCAGACUCCUACGGGAGGCAGCAGUGGGGAAUAUUGGACAAUGGGCGAAAGCCUGAUCCAGCAAUGCCGCGUGAGUGAUGAAGGCCUUAGGGUUGUAAAGCUCUUUACCAGGGAUGAUAAUGACAGUACCUGGAGAAUAAGCUCCGGCUAACUCCGUG
rnacentral:rRNA from 1 species